GUUUAGCCCUGAGCUAACUGCUGCCAAUCUUCCUCUUUUUGCUGAGGAAGACUGGCCCUGAGCUAACAUCCGUGCCCAUCUUCCUCUACUUUAUAUGUGGGACACCUACCACAGCAUGGCAUGCUGAGCGGUGCCAUGUCUGCACCUGGGAUCAGAAGCAGUGAACCCCAGGCCGCCAAAGCAGAACAUGUGCACUUAACCGCUGCACCACCGGGCCGGCCCUGAACAAUGGAAUCCCAAAGCCAGCAUGCUCUUCAGCUUCAUAUCUCUGGAUUGUGAACAUACAGGAGACACAACGUCCACUUUCUAAGGUUGUGAAGAUUGAAGGUCCACGAGGAACAUGAAGACCUUAGCACACC
rnacentral:lncRNA from 1 species